rnacentral:tRNA from 1 species
GCCCCCAUCGUCUAGAGGCCUAGGACACAGCCCUUUCAAGGCUGCGACAGGGAUUCGAAUUCCCUUGGGGGCACCU